rnacentral:rRNA from 1 species
UACGGAGGGAGCUAGCGUUAUUCGGAAUUACUGGGCGUAAAGCGUACGUAGGCGGCUUUGCAAGUUAGAGGUGAAAGCCUGGAGCUCAACUCCAGAACUGCCUUUAAAACUGCAUCGCUUGAAUCCAGGAGAGGUGAGUGGAAUUCCGAGUGUAGAGGUGAAGUUCGUAGAUAUUCGGAAGAACACCAGUGGCGAAGGCGGCUCACUGGACUGGUAUUGACGCUGAGGUGCGAAAGCGUGGGGAGCAAACAGG